rnacentral:lncRNA from 1 species
CCUAAGUCUAAAAACCAAAGACCUUCAAAAAUUUCCAAAUCUUGGUACCGAUCACCAACUUAGUCCAGUCUCACCACCAAACAUAACUUGCUUAAAAAGCUACUAAAUUGAGACAUUUCCUGCACCUACAUUUGGAUACUAGUCGUCAUUUGGGGAUUAAAAGAGUGCAUUGCAACCCCUAAGUCUAAAAAAUCAAGACUUUAAAAAAUUUCCAAAUCUUGGUACCAAGCACCAACUUAGUCCAAUCUCACCACCAAACAUAGCUUGCUUUAAAAGCAACUAAAUUCAAACAUUUCUUGCACCUAUAAUUUGACACUAGUCGUCAUUUGGGGGUUAAGGAGUGCAUUGUAGCCCCUAAGUCUAAAAAACUAAGACUUUAAAAAAUUUCAAAAUCUUGGUACCAAGCACAAACUUAGUCCAAUCUCACAACCAAACAUAGCUUGCUUGAAAAGCAACUAAAUUUAAACAUUUCUUGUACCUACAUUUUGACACUACUCCUCAAUUGGGGAUUUAAAGAGUGCAUUGCAACCCCUAAGUCUAAAAAACCCACACUUUUAAAGAGUGCAUUCAAGCCCCUAAAUCUAAAAAACUAUGACUUUAAAAAAUUUCAAAAUCUUGGUACCAAGCACCAACUUAGUCCAGUCUCACAACCAAACAUAGCUUGCUUGAAAAGCAACUAAAUUUAAACAUUUCUUGCACCUACAGUUUGAAACUAGUCAUCAAUUGGGGAUUUAAAGAGUGAAUUGCAACCCUUAUGUCUAAAAAUCCAAGACCUUAAAAAAUUUCCAAAUCUUGGUACCAAGCAUCAACUUAGUCUAAUCUCACCACCAAACAAAGCUUGCUUUAAAAGCAACUAAAUUGAAACAUUUCUUACACCUAUAAUUUGACACUAGUCGUCAUUUGGGGGUUUAAGGAGUGCAUUGUAGCCCCUAAGUCUAAAAAACC